AUUGAACGCUGGCGGCAGGCCUAACACAUGCAAGUCGAACGACUGGCGGACGGGUGAGUAAUGUCUGGGCAACUGCCCGAUGGAGGGGGAUAACUACUGGACACGGUAGCUAAUACCGCCUACCAUCGGAUGUGCCCAGAUGGGAUUAGCUAGUAGGUGGGGUAACGGCUCACCUAGGCGACGAUCCCUAGCUGGUCUGAGAGGAGGACCAGCCAAACUGGAACGGAGACACGGUCCAGACUCCUACGGGAGGCAGCAGUGGGGAAUUUUGCACAAUGGGGGCAAGCCUGAUGCAGCCAUGCCGCGUGUAUGAAGAAGGCCUUCGGGUUGUAAAGUACUUUCAGCGAGGAGGCGGUACUCGCAGAAUAAGCACCGGCUAACUCCGUGCCAGCCGCCGCGGUAAUAC
rnacentral:rRNA from 1 species